rnacentral:rRNA from 1 species
UACGGGGGGAGCAAGCGUUGUUCGGAUUUACUGGGCGUAAAGGGCGCGUAGGCGGUCGAGCACAAGUCAGUUGUGAAAUCUCCGGGCUUAACUCGGAAAGGUCAACUGAUACUGUGCGACUAGAGUGCAGAAGGGGCAACUGGAAUUCUCGGUGUAGCGGUGAAAUGCGUAGAUAUCGAGAGGAACACCUGCGGCGAAGGCGGGUUGCUGGGCUGACACUGACGCUGAUGCGCGAAAGCCAGGGGAGCGAACGGG